CAACACAGGCCGGCUUGAUGGUCGCGAAAACAAGCUUGGAACAACAACCCCGGAAAAAAAAAAACGCUUCCUCAAGCCGGGAGAGGCGAUAGCGAUCUUGUCAGGAUGAGAAACAACCAAGGUUGAAAAUUAGCGUGAAGAUGGAUCACCUUCGGCGGACGUGCUACCGGCCAUCAAAGCACAAACGGGGAAAAAAAAAUGGGGUGCGAAUUUCACAGAGCAGCACUUCCUGUCGGACAAAGACGAUGACAGGAUGUUCCCAGACCAUCUUUCAUGGACCUGGAGUGGAAGUGGAGACAGGUGCGACACAACAUAUGGCGGUUUCAGAAAAACACUGACAAUAGUACACAAAUCGUCAUAUUUAUAUUUACUGUGCAUGGGACACCCCCCCCCCCCACACACACACACACGUUUUAGUCAUACCUCUUAAAUCAAAGCGAAAUGUUUACCCUUUUAUCACGUUUUAUUUUAUUGCAUGGAGCCCCCCCCCCCCCAAAAAAAAAAGAUGCAGUCUUUUUCCAAAAGGAAAUCAAUUUUACCUUCAUUGUAUGUUUUUUUUACUCUGCUAUAUUUUAAUUAUGUUAUACAUCACGUCAGACACAAUUGAUGUUACUUAAAUAUAGUGCCAAUUCCACACACUAUGCACGUUUGUUUUAAUAAUUACAUUAAAUACAAAACAGAUGCAUGUUAAUGCAAUCACCCCUCCAUUAAUUGAAUUUUAAUUACAUCGUAAAUAUAAAAAUGUAUGCGUAAAUAUACUUUUUAAAGAAACGUAUUAAACUUUACAGAGCUAUGUGUUACAUAUUUCAUUAAAUACAC